rnacentral:rRNA from 1 species
AACGAACGUUAGCGGCGCGCUUAACACAUGCAAGUCGAACGAGAAAGGGCUUCGGCCCCGGUACAGUGGCGCACGGGUGAGUAACACGUGGGUAAUCUACCCUUGAGCGGGGAUAACGUUCCGAAAGGAGCGCUAAUACCGCAUAAGACCACGCUCUCGAAAGGGAGCGAGGUAAAAGUAGGCCUCUGAAUUCACGCUUACACUCGAGGAUGAGCCCGCGGCCCAUCAUGGUAGUUGGUAGGGUAAUGGCCUACCAAGCCGAAGACGGGUAGCUGGUCUUAGAGGAUGAUCAGCCACACUGGAACUGAGACACGGUCCAGACUCCUACGGGAGGCAGCAGUGGGGAAUCUUGCGCAAUGGGCGAAAGCCUGACGCAGCGACGCCGCGUGGGUGAUGAAGGCCUUCGGGUCGUAAAGCUCUGUGGGGAGAGACGAAUAAGACGUGGCUAAUAUCCACGGCGAUGACGGUAUCUCCUUAGCAAGCACCGGCUAACUCUGUG